rnacentral:rRNA from 1 species
UUACUGAACUGUCGACACGAGUUGUUGCUGGUCCUUGAAAGGGGACACGUGCACGCUCUGUUUACACAUCCACUCACACCUGUGCACCCUUGUAGUUCUAUGGCCUGGGGACUCUGUCCUCUUGCCGUGGUCCUACGUCUUUACACACACACCGUAACAAAGUAUCAUGGAAUGUACGCCGCGUCUAACGCAAUACAAUACAACUUUCAGCAACGGAUCUCUUGGCUCUCGCAUCGAUGAAGAACGCAGCGAAAUGCGAUAAGUAAUGUGAAUUGCAGAAUUCAGUGAAUCAUCGAAUCUUUGAACGCACCUUGCGCCCUUUGGCUAUUCCGAAGGGCAUGCCUGUUUGAGUAUCAUGAACACCUCAACUCUCAUGGUUCGCCAUGAUGAGCUUGGACUUUGGGGGUCUUGCUGGCGUAACUGCCAGCUCCUCUCAAAUGAAUCAGCUUCCCAGUGUUUGGUGGCGUCACAGGUGUGAUAACUAUCUACGCUUGUGGUCUUCCAUCAGGUUACCUUCAGUAAUGGAGGUUCACUGGAGCUCACAGACGUCUCUCCUCAGGGAGGACAAGCUUCUUAACGUUUGAUCUCAAAUCAGGUAGGACUACCCGCUGAACUUAAGCAUAUCAAA